GGUAUCCUGUGGUGGCUGCCUGUGAUGCUAGAAGGGAUGAAGGUUCAGUUAGGGGUUGAAUGAACUAAAGAAGAGAAAUAAUUAUCACAUACCCGUAUCAGACAAUUUCCCAUUCAUGACCUCACCUCCGGCUACCUUUGAUGACAUCACUUCCGAUCCUGUCAUGAUGGCGUCACUUCCGGCUCCCGUGGAUGACAUCACUUCCAGUUCCACCAUGAUAACGUCACUACCGGCUCCCGUGGAUGACGUCACUUCCUGCUACUACCAUUUCCUGUAGCCAUCUUUGUCAAGAUAUAAAAGCCGGCAGAAACUCCAUCUCAUUGUCGAAUGUCUGAUAUCUUUGAUAGUCAUCUUGACCAUAUAUUUGUGUGCAACAAUUUAAUGGUCCAAUCCCCAAACUUUCAUAAUAGUAAUUGUGAAUUAUUUCAUCACAAUUGGCAUAGUCUGCAGGAUAUUUGUUCAUCAUGACUGAAGGACAGGACCUGAAUACCGUCUUGAACACCUUGGCAGUGGAGGUGCAACAAGUAAAAAUACAACUGGGCAAUACCCAAAUAAGACCGACGGAAUCCGAGGCACACGCAGCAGCAGCCAGCGGAGGGGAGACAUAAAGCAUGGACUCUGUUUGUAAUCAUCCUAAGUCUCUCCAAAUGGAAGUGCACCAUUCAAAAAAUAUACUAUUCAAAGUAUACUAUUCAAAAUGCAAAGGAUGUGGAAGCAGGAGGACAUAAAGAAGGGGAGAAGUGGCAGAGAGAAAAGUAAAUGGUUGGAAAACCUCCUGGCUAUUAGAAGGUGGAGGACAAGAUGGUGAGCUGUAAGACAGUGAUUGACAGCAUCACCCUUCAUGGGUGGGAUCUUGAAACAUCUGUCUGGUGCUGUUACGAUCAUUAUCCAAUGACGAGUCUGAGUGCCAAAAUUCAAAAGGGGAGAAAAGAGUAAUGUGGAGGAAUGGCUGAUCUACGUGCCAGUUACAAAUAAGGGAAGGAGAGAAAAGACGGAUUCUAUCAGUGCCAAUCAACAAAACAUAGAAACAACUCACCCGUUGUCAGCAUGGACAAGGUUAGUGAUGUGACCACCUGCACCCCUUUUGAAAACUGUCCUUACACCCUGACUAGCCAGUCUUCAGAGAUGAGAUUUGAAACUUUUUUGCUUUCAGGAUAGUACCUUCUUCAUAUCUGCCUUUAUUUAUAAAAUCUGCCUUUCAUCUUCUGAUGUCCUCCGCUACCCACACAGACAAUACAAAAUUGGAUUAUUAUGACUGCUUUGAGUGUUUUUGUAUGUAUUUAUGAAUAUAUGUAUAAACAGUA